rnacentral:rRNA from 1 species
UACGGAGGUGGCAAGCGUUGCUCGGAAUCACUGGGCGUAAAGGGCGCGUAGGCGGGGAGGUAAGUCGGGUGUGAAAUCCCUUGGCCCAACCGAGGAACUGCGCCCGAGACUGCUUCUCUUGAGUCCCGGAGAGGAAGGUGGAAUUCCCGGUGUAGCGGUGAAAUGUGUAGAGAUCGGGAGGAACACCGGUGGCGAAGGCGGCCUUCUGGACCAAUACUGACGCUCAUGUGCGAAAGCGUGGGGAGCAAACAGG